rnacentral:rRNA from 1 species
CGCAGCCGCGGUAAUUCCAGCUCCAAUAGCGUAUAUUAAAGUUGUUGCAGUUAAAAAGCUCGUAGUUGAAUUUCGGGAUCAAUUAAUUGGUCGUGCCUCUGGUACGUACUGAUUUUAUUGGUUUCUCCCUUCUGACGAACCAUGAUGUCAUUAAUUUGAUGUCGUGGAGAAUCAGGACUGUUACUUUGAAAAAAUUAGAGUGUUUAAAGCGAGCUAACGCUUGAAUACAUUAGCAUGGAAUAAUGAAAUAGGACGUUCGAUCCUACUUUGUUGGUUUCUAGGAUUGACGUAAUGAUUAAUAGGGAUAGUUGGGGGCAUUAGUAUUCAAUUGUCAGAGGUGAAAUUCUUGGAUUUAUUGAAGACUAACUACUGCGAAAGCAUUUGCCAAGGAUGUUUUCAUUAAUCAAGAACGAAAGUUAGGGGAUCGAAGACGAUCAGAUACCGUCGUAGUCUUAACCAUAAACUAUGCCGACUAGGGAUCGGAUGAUGUUAAUUUUUAAUGACUCAUUCGGCGCCUUAA